UGGGGUUUUAUCUGAUCCUUGUGUGUUUUCGUUUUGGGCUCUAGAAAUAAAAUAUUUUUGCGGCCAGAGAUGAUGUAUUUAUGCGUAACUUUAAUUCUAAUGAAACGAAGAGAAGGAGAUUGUCUCUCCCCUUUGAUCGAUGGUGGUGACGCCUGAGCUUCUUCGCACUAUCUGAAACGGUCUGAUUUAUGGCGGUGAACCUGCGACUAUAAAAAGCGACUUUGACGCCUGCCAUGGCAACCCGCGACUUCGCUUGUCAUCUCUGACGCGGAUGCAAUUGAUCUCCGGUUGGGAUUGCCUCCCUCCAUCGUCGUGUCUAAGCUUCCUCCGCCGCGUGAGCGACGUUCAUCUUUUCACUACCGUGACCUUUAAAGCUCACGAUGAACAGCCAUCUCAGCUCCCAAAGUCGUCGAUCUCACCUCAAAUUGCAGAGGAUGUGAAGCUGAGAUUUAUUCUUCAUCAGGCGACGAGCCUAAUCCUCUGAAGAGCUUGAGAUCGACUGAUAUAAAAAAAAUAGUUUACAUCCCUUCUCUUUUGUUUUUACUCUAUCUGAUAAACUAUUUAAGUUACACAUAUUUGCAGUUUGGUCCUUUCUCUUUUGAUUCUUGAGCGUGAGCUUCGCCUUCUCCUUUGUCUUGGUGCUUCUCCGAGAGUCUCUGCUUUUUGAUCGGUCCCGUUACGGCGAAGAAAUACACCGCCGCCGGAAGUUUGAAAUCGAAGAAUCCGACCGGAUCUAAAUCGAGUAUAAGCUCUUUCGAGGAUGAUGAUGAUGUUGGUGAUAGGGGUUUGUGGUGAGGAAGAAUCAGAGAGUGGAGGAUGUCGAUCUGAGUGGAGGUGAAAGAUCUUCGUGUAGGGAGCUGGCGAGAGCGAUUUUGAAAUUGGGAGAGGUGUACGAGAGGAUUGAAGGGGCGAAGUAGAGGAUGAUGAUUGAGUUGGAUAAGCCGAUGAUGGAAGCUGCCAAGGAGCUUGAGUUGUAACGGAAGAAUAUUUUGAUGGAUAUGUAGAUGGAGCUUGAAAGAUCCAAGCUUGGCAAGCGUAGAGUUGCUGCUUCAUGUAAGAAGUUGUAGGGAUUAGAUUGUGGAGAAGCUAUACUGUGAUAGACAAGGAGCAGUGGUUGGAUCUGAGAGCUCAUUCGGAAUUAAAGAAACUGUUAUUUUUUUUUUUUGACGAACGAAACUGUUAUUAUUCUUUCUCACUAAGUUUCAAAUUAGAGCAAUGUUUUUUCUC